GCUUAGGCUAUCGCUCUGAGGGGCUCCUUUCAUCCGCAUCCUCCACAUGGAGCUGCUUUAGCAGAAUUAGAAACAAAGAAAUGCACAAGAAGUCGUUUGAAAAUAAUAAAGACAAACUAAGAAACACUAGGAUUUUUUUUUCCCCCACGCAGCAAAGAGAGGUGGAAUUGUGGGCUAAAAUUGACCACGGUUGUUCUCUGAGAUUUUUAGAAAUCAGAGAUCUUCCAGAGAAAGCCAGCCCGCCCGUGGAAGCAGAGCACCGGCCAGAGCAUCCCGCUCUUCCAACCUUCCUACAAUUCCUGGCGCCGCGCGCUCUCAGGAGCAUUAGCCCCGGGCCUGUGUCUCGCGCACGAGCCGGGUCGACACACGCCCGAAAGUGGGCGGUCCCGGCGGGGGUCGGCCCGGCCCCAACCACAGAGCGGCGGUGCCUCCGGCGUCCUAGAGCGGCCGCGGGCAGCCGGCGCUGGGCCGGGGUCCUGGGGCUAGUCUCGCGGGUCCUGAGCUCCGCCGCCUGCUUCCGGUCCUGGAAGAUGCCGGCGGUCUUUCGCUCGGGGACGCUGGCCCCGAGUCCUCUCGUCAGGUGGCGACGCCCAGGCGGGGCGGCUCCCUCUGAGGAGUCGGGUUCCGCCUGUUAGGCCCCCGCGGCCUCCGCCUCGAGCCUCCUCCAGCCGCGGAGACGAGCUUGUCUGCGGCGGGCCGGCGGGCGGAGGGCGCGCCUGUGGGCGCCGCGUGGGUAACGAGGCCCCGCGCCCAGGAGGGCCGGCUCCCGGGCCGGGCGCGCUCCGUCUCGUGUCGCCUGACUUCGGGCGGCCUGGUGAGCCUUCCCGAGUUUUCUGAACGUAAACGUGAAGUCGCUCAGUCGUGUCCGACUCUUUGCGACCCCAUGGACUGUAGCCUAUCAGGCUCCUCUGUCCAUGGGAUUUUCCAGGCAAGAGUACUGGAGUGGGUUGCCAUUGCCUUCCCCAAGGGAUCUUCCCAACCCAGGGAUCGAACUCGGGUCUCCCGCAUCGUAGACAAACGCUUUACUGUCUGAGCCGCCAGGGAAGUUUUCUAGACCCCUCAAUACCGGCUUCCAUACGUAGCGGGCUUUGUGAGAAAGAACUGAAAAAAUAGGUGUGGACGUGAGUCAGUGCUGUUUACUUCUUGACCGCUUCCUGUGGGCCUGGUAUUAUUAACCGCUAAACACGGAAACACUUCUUUUCAGUAAAUGCUUGGAGAUUGCGUGCUGUGCGGCAAUCAACACUGCAAGGCGCCUGCAAUGCUGCGAGGCGAUGAAGCGGGCAGCUGAUUUUGGUCCUGAUCGGUUUUUACUUAUACUAAAGCACCACGCAGUUUCUGUCUCCUGUUGGAUCAAAACAAGAUGUUUUUGAAAAGCCAAAUAAAACAGUAUCCUA
ensembl:lncRNA